rnacentral:rRNA from 1 species
UCUUCGGAACAUCGGUGACAGGUGGUGCAUGGUUGUCGUCAGCUCGUGUCGUGAGAUGUUGGGUUAAGUCCCGCAACGAGCGCAACCCUUAUCUUCAGUAGCCAUCAUUGAGUUGGGCACUCUGGAGAGACUGCCGUGGAUAACACGGAGGAAGGUGGGGAUGACGUCAAAUCAUCAUGCCCCUUAUGUCUUGGGCUACACACGUGCUACAAUGGCUGG